GUGUGGCUGAGCUUCAAUCGACACUGGAUCUUUGAGUGACCUAAACCUGGAAAGGAGUGUGUCGCAGGAGAAGAGCAUUAUUGUAAAUAUCGAAUGUUGGGCUUUCAUCUUUCACACCAUGGACCACGAGCACUGUGCAGGAGUUGGGAGUACCAUGAAGAAGUCACGUCUUUGUGAGACGGGAGAGGAGCGGAGGGGAAGCUGGGAUCAGCUGAGACCGGAGCUGUCCAGACUACGGACUGUCACAACAAAUGAAAACUAAAAAUAAACGUGGCAUCUGGC